AAUUGCAGCACUUCUUAAAGCACUCUUCUUCCAUCACUGCUGUUGAGACAUAACGUGGGUCGACUUUGUGAGAAGAAUCAGAAAGAAAGAAAUCAGUCUCUGUUGUCUUCAACAGGAAACAACCGAAGAUUCAAGUUUCUCGUUGUUGCACUUGAAGAAAAGAAUUCAUAAAAUGAUUCUCUCACAAAACUUCUAAAAAACUGCACGAGUGAACGCAAACAGACACAUUUCUACUCCGACUUUAUCUGGAAUUCUUUAGCCGGCAGCCCCCUGAUCAUUUUUCUGCAUGAAGUCGGGUUAGCUGAUGUGAGAACGCAGCAGGAAGUAUUCAGGUAAAUUCACUGUGAGGGAGCAAGAGGGGGGUGGUAACGUUUCUACCUCAGGACCCGUGCACAACCAGAGACUGUAUGACCGCGAUAUGUGUGAUCUCUGUGCACGUUAUUAAACCGCUGCCUUAAGUUUUCUGUCCUCCAGUAUGUACAAAAAAACUGUCAUCAUAGAGUUGGACUCUGUUGCUCUGUCCACCACCUCUGACUGCCUGAAAAUAAUGAAGACUUUCAGUAGUGCAUGAGUGAAAAUGUCUUUAUUGAGGCUGAAGAACGUUUAGGAUUGUUGUGUUUUGUCCACAGAGCUGAAUGAUUUUUGUUAUUAUUUCAAACACUCUUUUCUCUGGUGCUGAUUUACUGUGAAGAGAUGAACUCACUCCUGCUCCUGCGUCUCUUCCAGGGCUCCUUCUUGAUCACUCAGGCUGUGGCUCAGGCUCUGGUGGCCUGUGGAGCACCCAAAGGAUCCAUCAUCACCGUGGGCAGCAUCGUAGGAAAGUGAUCAUCCGUCCAUCCAUCCACCUUGUGCUCGUAGCCAAUAAAGGGUUAAAUGGU